AUUAAAAACGCUGUAACGGAGUGCUUCGCGCACGGGCUUUAUAUUAUA
ncrna:unclassified sequences ssnA RNA